rnacentral:lncRNA from 1 species
AACUAAAACUUAUUUUGCAUCUCCUGUCACAUGGUGAGGCCAAAAACAAUAUCCACAUCUAUGUAACAAACAAAAAACUGAUCAAAUAGAACAAAAGGGAACCAAUCACCAAACCAGAACCGCUUUUCCUUCAAAAAUGGUGAAGAACCACACAAAGAUCCAUCUGAAAUGGAAGUGCAUAAACAAUAAGCAAGGGGAAAGCCCAGGAAGAAGACAAUGACAGUAGAAAAAUAUUAUACUCCCUCUACAAUGCUUCACGUCCAACAACCAGACCAAGAUAGCCCCACCUUAAGCUCCGACUUUGGUAGAAUCAAAACUUAUUUUGUAUCUCCUGUCAAAGGGUGGGACCAAAAACAAUAUACACAUGUACGUAACAAACAAAAAAUAGAUUAAACAGAGCAAAAGGGAACCAAGCACCAAACCAGAACCGCCUUCCCACGAGAACUGGUUAAUUAGAACCCAAAGAUCAAACAUUUGAAGAUUAAAGAGCAUAACAAUAAGCAAAGGGAAAAAGUUCACCUAGAAGAUAAAUCACAAUAGAAAAAUAAUAUACUCCUGUUGACACCCACCAUAAACACUAUACCAAUGGCAGCAUCCAAGAUUGGUCCAUAUCCAAAUAACCAGACCAAGAUAGCCUCACCUUAAAUACCUAACUUUGAUGGAAUCAAAACCAAUUUUGUAUCUCCUGACACAGGGUGAGGCAGAAAACAAGGUCCAAGUCUACGUAACAAAAUAAAACUAUAAUAGAGAGCAAAGAUAACCAAGGAUCAAACCAGAACAGUCUUCCACAGAAGCCUGAUUAAGAAACACACAACGAUCCGGCAUCUGGAAAUUGAAAAGAAUAACGAUAAGCAAGGGAAAGUUUAGGUAGAAUAUAAAAUUUAGUAAAAAAGUUACAAUACUAUACUCCCUAUGCAACCCUUGAUAAACACUAUAUCAAUGACAGCGUCAAAGGUUGCUCCGUGUCCAACAAUCAGACCAAGAUUGCACCACCAUAAGCUCCUACUUUGAUAGAAUCAAAACUUAAUUUAUAUUUUGUGUCAUAGGGUGAUGCAGAAAACAAUAUCCACGCCAACGUAACAAACAAAAAACUGAUGAAAGAGAAAAAAGAUAACAAAGCAUCAAACCGAACAGCCUUCCAAUUAAGAACCACAACGAUCAGAAAUCUGAAAAUUGAAGAGUAUAACGACAAGCACCGGAAACUCUAGGUAGAAGAGAAAAUAUAGUAGAAGAAAAUGUAGUAUAACAAUCUGCAUCCCUCAAUAAACAUUAUAUCAAUUGACAUCUUAUAUUAGUCCGCAUCCAACAACCCCACCAAGUUGGCCCCCACCUUAAGCUCCCACUUUGAUAGAAUAAAACUGAAUUUGUAUCUCCUGUCACAGGGUGAGGGCGAAAAAAAUAUCAAAGUCUACGUAACAAAAAAAAAAAAACUAUAAUAGAGAACACAGACAACCAAGCGUCAAACAAGAACUGCCUUUCAGAGAAGCUUGAUUAAGAACAAAACAGCAACCAAAGAUUUGUCCAUGUCCAAAAACCAGACCAAGAUAGCCCCCACCUUAAGCUCCUACUUUGAUAGAAUCAAAACCUAUUUUGUAUCUCCUGUCACAGGGUGAGGCUGAAAACAACAUCCAAGUCUACAUAACAGCAAAAGAACUAUAAUUGAGAGAGCAAAGAUAACCAAUUAUCAAACCCGAACUGCCUUCCAGUUAAACUUGAUUAAGAACCACAUAAUGAACAGGCAUCUGGAAAUGGAAGAGAGACUAACAAUAACCACAGGAAAGUCUAGAUGGAAGAUAAAUUGUAGUAGAAAAAAAUACUAUAUUAUACUCCCUCUGCCAUCCUCGAUAAACACUAUAAUUGACAGCGUCAAAGGUUGAUCUGUGGCCAAUAUAACUAAACCAAGAUUAGCCCCACCUUGAGCUCCUACUUUGAUAAAAUCAAAACAAAAUUUUUAUCAUCUGCCAUAGGAUGAGGCAGAAAUACAAUAUACACGUAUACGUAACAAACAAAAAAACUGAUGAUAGAGAGAAAAGAUAAACCCAGCAUCAAACCAGAAGUGCCUUCAAGUAAAGAACACCUGGAAAUUGAAGAGUAUAACGAUAAGUAUAGGAAACUCAAGGUAAAAGAGAAAACGUAAAAAAAAAAAAAAUAACUAUACUGUACACCAUCUGCCACCCUCGACAAACACUAUAUCAAUGAUGGCAUCAUAGAUUAGUCCAUAUCCAAAAACCAGACCAAGAUAACCCCCACCUUAAGCUUCAACUUUGAUAGAAUCAAAACCUAUUUUGUCUCCUGGCACAGGGUGAGGACCAAAACAUUGUCCAAGUCUACAUAACAAAUAAACAAUAAUUACAGAGCAAAGGUGACCAAUUAGCAAACCAGAACAGCCUUCCCGUGAAGCUUGAUUAAAAACCACACAGCGAUCAGGCAUCUGGAAAUUGAUGAGAACAACGGUAAGCAUGGGAAAGUCUAGGUAGAAGAUAAAAGAUAGUAAAAAAAAAAAAAACUAUUCUAUACUCUCUUUGCCAGGCCCACACCACUAUAUCAAUGACAGCAUCAAAGGUAGAUCCGUGUUCAAUAACCAGGCCAACAUUAGCCACACCAUAAGCUCCUUCUUUCAAAACUUAAUUUUUAUCUCCUAUCAUAGGGUGAGGCAGAGAACAAUAUCCACGUCUACAUAACAACAAAAAAUUGUUGAAACUGACAAAAGAUAACCAAGAAAACAAGAAGUGCCAUCCAUUAUGGAAAUUGAAGAGUAUAACUAUAAACACGGGAAACUCUAGGUAGAAGAGAAAAUGUAGUAGAAAAAAAAAAUACUAUUAUGUAUUUCCUUUGCGACCCUCGAUUUACAAUAUACCAAUGAUAACAUCAAAGAUCUGUCCGCGUCCAAAAACCAGACCAAGAUAGCCCCCACAUUAAGCUCCUACAGUGAUGGAAUCAAAACCUAUUUUGUAUCUCCUGUCACAGGGUAGGCCCAAAACAAUAUCCAAGUCUAUAUAACAACAAAAGAAAUAUAAUAGAGAGAUCAAAUGCAACCAAUUAUGAACCCAGAACUGCCUUCCAGUUAAGCUUGAUUAAGAACCACACAACGAUCAGGCAUCUGGAAAUUGAAGAGAAUAACAAUAAGCACGGGAAAGUCAAGAUGGAAGAUAAAUUGUAGCAGAAUUAAUACAAUACUAUACUCCCUCUGACACCCUCGAUAAACAUUAUAUCAGUGACAGCAUCAAAAGUUGAUAUGUCUCCAAUAACUAGACCAAGAUUAGCCCCACCAUAAGCUGCUUCUUUCACAACUUAAUUUUUAACCCCUGUCACAAGGUGAGGCAGAAAACAAUAUCCACGUCUACGUAACAAAUAAAAGAUUGUUGAAACUGACAAAAGAUAACCAAGCAUACCAGAAGUGCCUUCCAGUUAAGAACCACACAACAAUCAGACAUCUGGAAAUUGAAGAGUAUAACUAUUAGCACGGGAAACUCUAGGUAGAAGAGAAAAUGUAGUAGAAAAAAAAUACUAUUAUGUACUCCAUGUACUCCCUUUACCACCCACAUUAAACUAUAUCAAUGACAGCAUGAAGGAUUUGUCAGUGUACCAAAAACCAGACCAAGACACGCCCCCACCUUAAGCUCCUACUUUGAUAGAAUCAGAACCUAUUUUGUAUCUCCUAUCACAGGGUGAGGCUGAAACCAACAUCGAGUCUAAAUAACAACAAAAGAACUACAAUAGAGAGAGCAAAGGUAACCAACUAUCAAACCCGAACUGCCGUCCAGUAAGCUUGAUUAAGAACCACACAACGAUCGGGCAUCUGGAAAUGGAAGAGAAUAACGAUAAGCACCGGAAGGUCUAGAUGGAAGAUAAAUUGUAUUAGAAGAAAUACUAUACUAACUCCCUCUGCCACCCUCGAAAAACAUAUCAUGACCAUCAAAGGAUUGAUUGUGUGCAAUAACUGACUAAGAUUAGCCCUACCUUAAGCCCUACUUUGAUAAAAUUAAAACUUAAUUUUUAUCUCAUGUCAUAGGGUGGGGCAGAAAACAAUAUCACGUCUAUGUACAAACAAAAAUUGUUGAAAUGACAAAAGAUAACCAAACAUCAAACCAGAAGUGUCAUCCAGUUAAGAACCACCCCACGAUCAGACAUCUGGAAAUUGAAGAGUAUAUCUAUAAGCACGGGAAACUCUAGGUAGAAGAGAAAAUGUAUAGAAAUAAAAAUACUAUUAUGUACUCCCUUUGCCACCCUCGAUUAACACAAUAUCAAUGACUCAUCAAAGAUCUGUCCGCGUCCAAAAACCAGACCAAGAUAGCCCCCACAUUAAGCUCCUACAGUGAUGGAAUCAAAACCUAUUUUGUAUCUCCUGUCACAGGGUAGGCCCAAAACAAUAUCCAAGUCUAUAUAACAACAAAAGAAUAUAAUAGAGAGAUCAAAUGCAACCAAUUAUGAACCCAGAACUGCCUUCCAGUUAAGCUUGAUUAAGAACCAAACAACGAUCAGGCAUCUGGAAAUCGAAGAGAAUAACAAUAAGCACGGGAAAGUCAAGAUGGAAGAUAAAUUGUAGCAGAAUUAAUACAAUACUAUACUCCCUCUGACACCCUCGAUAAACAUUAUAUCAGUGACAGCAUCAAAAGUUGAUGUCUCCAGUAACUAGACCAAGAUUAGCCCCACCAUAAGCUGCUUCUUUCACAACUUAAUUUUUAACUCCUGUCACAAGGUGAGGCAGAAAACAAUAUCCACGUCUACGUAACAAAUAAAAGAUUGUUGAAACUGACAAAAGAUAACCAAGCAUACCAGAAGUGCCUUCCAGUUAAGAACCACACAACAAUCAGACAUCUGGAAAUUGAAGAGUAUAACUAUUAGCACGGGAAACUCUAGGUAGAAGAGAAAAUGUAGGUAGAAAAAAAAUACUAUUAGUACUCCCUUUACCACCCACUAUUAACACUAUAUCAAUGACAGCAUGAAGGAUUUGUCAGUGUCCAAAAACCAGACCAAGACAGCCCCCACCUUAAGCUCCUACUUGAUAGAAUCAGAACCUAUUUUGUAUCUCCUAUCACAGGGUGAGGCUGAAACCAACAUCCGAGUCUAAAUAACAACAAAAGAACUACAAUAGAGAGAGCAAAGGUAACCAACUAUCAAACCCGAACUGCCGUCCAGUUAAGCUUGAUUAAGAACCACACAACGAUCGGGCAUCUGGAAAUGAAGAGAAUAACGAUAAGCACCGGAAGGUCUAGAUGGAAGAUAAAUUGUAUAGAAGAAAUACUAUACUAUACUCCCUCUGCCACCCUCGAUAAACACACUAUAUAGUGACCACGUCAAAGGAUUGACUUGUGUGCAAUAACUUGACUAAGAUUAGCCCUACCUUAAGCUCCUACUUGAUAAAAUUAAAACUUAAUUUUUAUCUCAUGUCAUAGGGUGGGGCAGAAAACAAUAUCCACGUCUAUGUAGCAAACAAAAUUGUUGAACUGACAAAAGAUAACCAAACAUCAAACAGAAGUGUCUCCAGUUAAGAACCACCCCACGAUCAGACAUCUGGAAAUUGAAGAGUAUAUCUAUAAGCACGGGAAACUCGAGGUAGAAGAGAAAAUGUAGUAGAAUAAAAAUACUAUUAUGUACUCCCUUUGCCACCCUCGAUUAACACAAUAUCAAUGACUACAUCAAAGAUCUGUCGCGUCCAAAAACCAGACCAAGAUAGCCCCCACAUUAAGCUCCUACAGUGAUGGAAUCAAAACCUAUUUUGUAUCUCCUGUCACAGGGUAGGCUCAAAACAAUAUCCAAGUCUAUAUAACAACAAAAGAAAUAUAAUAGAGAGAUCAAAUGCAACCAAUUAUGAACCCAGAACUGCCUUCCAGUUAAGCUUGAUUAAGAACCAAACAACGAUCAGGCAUCUGGAAAUCGAAGAGAAUAACAAUAAGCACGGGAAAGUCAAGAUGGAAGAUAAAUUGUAGCAGAAUUAAUACAAUACUAUACUCCCUCUGACACCCUCGAUAAACAUUAUAUCAGUGACAGCAUCAAAAGUUGAUAGUCUCCAUAACUAGACCAAGAUUAGCCCCACCAUAAGUGCUUCUUUCACAACUUAAUUUUUAACCCCUGUCACAAGGUGAGGCAGAAAACAAUAUCCACGUCUACGUAACAAAUAAAAGAUUGUUGAAACUGACAAAAGAUAACCAAGCAUACCAGAAGUGCCUUCCAGUUAAGAACCACACAACAUCAGACAUCUGGAAAUUGAAGAGUAUAUCUAUAGCACGGGAAAUUCUAGGUAGAAGAGAAAAUGUAGUAGAAAAAAAAUACUAUUAUGUACUCCCUUUCCACCCCGAUUAAACAUAUCAAUGACCAUAAGAUUGUCGGUCCAAAAACCAGACCAAGACAGCCCCCACCUUAAGCUCCUACUUUGAUAGAAUCAGAACCUAUUUUGUAUCUCCUAUCACAGGGUGAGGCUGAAACCAACAUCGAGUCUAAAUAACAACAAAAGAACUACAAUAGAGAAAGCAAAGGUAACCAACUAUCAAACCCGAACUGCCGUCCAGUUAAGCUUGAUUAAGAACCACACAACGAUCGGGCAUCUGGAAAUGGAAGAGAAUAACGAUAAGCACCGGAAGGUCUAGAUGGAAGAUAAAUUGUAUUAGAAGAAAUACUAUCUAUACUCCCUCUGCCACCCUCGAUAAACACACUAUAUCAGUGACCACGUCAAAGGAUUGACUUGUGUGCAAUAACUUGACUAAGAUUAGCCCUACUUAAGCUCCUACUUUGAUAAAAUUAAAACUUAAUUUUUAUCUCAUGUCAUAGGGUGGGGCAGAAAACAAUAUCCACGUCUAUGUACAAACAAAAUUGUUGAAAUGACAAAAGAUAACCAAACAUCAAACCAGAAGUGUCUCCAGUUAAGAACCACCCAGAUCAGACAUACUGGAAAUUGAAGGUAUAUCUAUAAGACACGGAAAUUGGUAGAAGAGAAAAUUAAGUAGAAUAAAAACUAUUAUGUACUCCCUUUGCCACCCUCGAUUAACACAAUAUCAAUGACUCAUCAAAGAUCUGUCCGCGUACCAAAAACCAGACCAAGAUACCCCACAUUAAGCUCCUACAGUGAUGGAAUCAAAACCUAUUUUGUAUCUCCUGUCACAGGGUAGGCCCAAAACAAUAUCCAAGUCUAUAUAACAACAAAAGAUAUAUAAUAGAGAGAUCAAAUGCAACCAAUUAUGAACCCAGAACUGCCUUCCAGUUAAGCUUGAUUAAGAACCAAACAACGAUCAGGCAUCUGGAAAUCGAAGAGAAUAACAAUAAGCACGGGAAAGUCAAGAUGGAAGAUAAAUUAUAGCAGAAUUAAUACAAUACUAUACUCCCUCUGACACCCUCGAUAAACAUUAUAUCAGUGACAGCAUCAAAAGUUGAUAGUCUCCAUAACUAGACCAAGAUUAGCCCCACCAUAAGUGCUUCUUUCACAACUUAAUUUUUAACCCCUGUCACAAGGUGAGGCAGAAAACAAUAUCCACGUCUACGUAACAAAUAAAAGAUUGUUGAAACUGACAAAAGAUAACCAAGCAUACCAGAAGUGCCUUCCAGUUAAGAACCACCCCACAUCAGACAUCUGGAAAUUGAAGAGUAAAAUUAUAAGCACGGGAAACUCUAGCUAGAAGAGAAAAUGUAGUAGGAAAAAAUAACUAUUAUGUACUCCCUUUGCAACCCUCGAUUAACAACAUAUUAAUUGACAAUAUCAAAGAUUUUUCCGUGUCCAAAAACCAGACCAAGAUAGCCCCCACAUUAAGCUCCUAUUGCGAUGGUAUCAAAACCUAUUUUGUAUCUCCUGUCAUAGGGUGAGGGCCAAAUCAAUAUCCAAGUCUACAUAACAACAAAAUAACUAUAAUAGAAAGAGCAAGGGUAACCAAUUAUCAAACCAGAACUGCCUUCCAUUUAAGCUUGAUUAAAAACCACACAACAAUCAAGCAUCUGGAAAUUGAAGAGAAUAAAGAUAAGUAUGAGAAAGUCUAGGUGGAAGAUAAAUUUUAGUAGAAAAAAUUACUAUAAAAUACUCCCUCUGCUACCCUGGAUAAAACCUAUAUCAGAGACAGCGUGAAAGGUUUGAUCUGUGUCCAAUAACUUGACCAAGAUUAGCCCCACCUUAUGCUCCCUACUUUGAUAAAAUCAAAACUUAAAUUUUAUCUCCUGCCAUAGGAUGAGGAGAAAACAAUAUCCACGUCUACGUAGCAAACAAAAAACUGAUGAAAAAGAGAACCAAGCAUCAAACCAGAAGUGUCUUCAAGUUAAGAACCACACAACGACCAGACACCUGGGAUUGAAGAGUAUAACGAUGGAGAGUAUAACGAUAAGAACCAGAAACUCUGGGUAGAAUAGAAUAUGUAGAAGAUAAAAUACUAUUCUGUUCUCCAUCUGCCUCCCUCAAUAAACACUAUAUCAAUGCCGGCAUCAUAGAUUAGUCCAUGUCCAAAAACCCAACCAAGAUAGCCCCAACUUAGAGCUCCUACUUUGAUAGAAUUAAAACCUAUUUUGUAUCUCCUGUAACAGGGUGAGGCCCAAAACAAUAUCCAAGUCAACAUAACAACACAAAAACUACAUUUACAGAGCAAACGUAACCAAUUAUCAAACCAGCCUUCCCGUGAAGCUUGAUUAAGAACCACACAGAGAUCAGGCAUCUGCAAAUUGAUGAGAACAACAGUAAGCACGCGAUAGUCUAGGGAGAAGAUAAAAUGUUGUAAAAAAAAAUACUAUUCGAUACUCCCUCUGCCACACUCGAUAUUAACAGCGUCAAAGGUUUAUCUUCCGAUAACCAGAUUAGCCCCACCUUAAGCUCCUUCUUUUAAUACUUAAUUUUUAUCUCCUGUCAUAGGGUGAGGCAGAAAACAAUAUCCACGUCUACGUAACAAACAAAAAAUUGUUGAAACUGACAAAAGAUAACCAAGCAUCAAACCAGAAGUGCCUUCCAGUUAAGAACCACUGAACCACACAACGAAUCAUCAGACAUCUGGAGAUUGAAGAGUAUAACUAUAAGCACGGGAAACUUUAGGUAGAAGAGAAAAUGUAGUAGAAAAAAAAUACUACUCCAUGUACUCUUCCUAUUGCCACCCUUGAUUAACAAUAUACCAAUGACAGCAUCAAAGAUUUUUCCGUGCCAAAAACCAGACCAAGAUAGCCCCCACAUUAAGCUCCUAUUGUGAUAGAAUCAAAACCUAUUUUGUAUCUCCUGUCACAGAGUGAGGCCCAAAACAAUAUCGAGUCUACAUAACAACAAAAGAACUAAAAUAAAGAGAGCAAAGGUAACCAAUUAUCAAACCAGAACAGCCUUCCAGUGAAGCUAGAUUAAGAAGCUCAGAGCGAUCAAGCAUCUGAAAAUUGAUGAGAACGGUAAGCAAGGGCAAGUCUAGGUAGAGGAUAAAAUGUUGUAAAAAAAUUACUAUACUAUACUUCCUCUGCAACCCUUGAUAAAAACACAAUAUCAAUUUGUCAGCGUCAAAUGUUGGUCCGUGGCCAACAACCAGACCAAGAUUAGCACCACCAUAAGUUCCUAAUUUGAUAGAAUCAAAACAUAAUUUUUAUCUCCUGUCAUAGGGUGAGGCAGAAAACAUAAAUUCAUCAUGAUGAUCUUGAGGCUCCUCACCAGCGAUUAAUCUGUGGCCAGAGAAGAGAACAAUUGAGUAAAUUCAUAACUAUCAGCGUUUCCACCAACUGCCGAUAACCAUCAAACUAUCAGCGCGAAAGGAAAAGGACAAAAUAAACCUUCUGGCUUGAGAGAUCACGAGCUAUCCAAUCGGUUGCCCUACAGAUACAAACGAAAGUAAGCCCCGAUAACCAAUACGGCAGAGGAAAUCAUGAUCUAAAUAGACCGUCAAAACUUGAACUAUAAAAUCUGCACUCGUUGCGAAUAACUGAAUAUUAACCCAAAUCAGCAGAAGGAAUCACAAUAACCGAUCUACACAAAUCAAAUACGUCAAAGUAGAUUGAACAGAAAUCCUCCGCUAGGUCAUCUAUCCUCGCCGCCAUAUGUCAUACCAGACAGGGAAGGCUAAUGGAAAUCGCAACACAAGGAGAGAGUAACCCGAUCGAAAACACAAAACUUAAUCGCCAACGAAAUCGCACCACAAAACACAAUAACCCUAGAUAUGAAUUCAGGAGAAGAGGGCCACAAUAGAAGAAAAAUAAUAGCGAAACACGCAAAGAGGGGGGAUGGGUAGGAGAAUGUGGGGAGAUAUGGUAUAUA